GAUGAACGCUGGCGGCGUGCUUAACACAUGCAAGUCGAACGGUGAACGAGGGAGCUUGCUCCCUCCGGAUCAGUGGCGAACGGGUGAGUAACACGUGAGCAAUCUGCCCUGGACUCUGGGAUAAGCGUUGGAAACGACGUCUAAUACCGGAUACGAGGCGUGGGGGCAUCCCCAACGCCUGGAAAGAACUUCGGUCCAGGAUGAGCUCGCGGCCUAUCGGGGAGUUGGUGAGGUAACGGCUCACCAAGGCGACGACGGGUAGCCGGCCUGAGAGGGUGACCGGCCACACUGGGACUGAGACACGGCCCAGACUCCUACGGGAGGCAGCAGUGGGGAAUAUUGCACAAUGGGCGCAAGCCUGAUGCAGCAACGCCGCGUGAGGGACGACGGCCUUCGGGUUGUAAACCUCUUUUAGCAGGGAAGAAGCGAAAGUGACGGUACCUGCAGAAAAAGCACCGGCUAACUACGUGCCAGCAGCCGCCGCCGUAA
rnacentral:rRNA from 1 species